AGGGAUCUUCCACAAUGGACGAAAGUCUGAUGGAGCAACGCCGCGUGAGUGAAGAAGGGUUUCGGCUCGUAAAACUCUGUUGUUAAAGAAGAACAUAUCUGAGAGUAACUGUUCAGGUAUUGACGGUAUUUAACCAGAAAGCCACGGCUAACUACGUGCCAGCAGCCGCGGUAAUACGUAGGUGGCAAGCGUUGUCCGGAUUUAUUGGGCGUAAAGCGAGCGCAGGCGGUUUUUUAAGUCUGAUGUGAAAGCCUUCGGCUCAACCGAAGAAGUGCAUCGGAAACUGGGAAACUUGAGUGCAGAAGAGGACAGUGGAACUCCAUGUGUAGCGGUGAAAUGCGUAGAUAUAUGGAAGAACACCAGUGGCGAAGGCGGCUGUCUGGUCUGUAACUGACGCUGAGGCUCGAAAGUAUGGGUAGCAAACAGGAUUAGAUACCCUGGUAGUCCAUACCGUAAACGAUGAAUGCUAAGUGUUGGAGGGUUUCCGCCCUUCAGUGCUGCAGCUAACGCAUUAAGCAUUCCGCCUGGGGAGUACGGCCGCAAGGCUGAAACUCAAAGGAAUUGACGGGGGCCCGCACAAGCGGUGGAGCAUGUGGGUUUAUUUCGAAGCUGACGCGAAGAACCUUACCAGGUCUUGACAUACUUAUGACAAAUCUAAGAGAUUAGACGUUCCCUUCCGGGGAACAUGAAUGACAGGUGGU
rnacentral:rRNA from 1 species